CAACUAAUAUUUUUGAACAAUUCAUUUUUAAAGUGAGUUCAACCAACUUAUGGAUGAGACUUCAUUUUGAAACUUACGGAUGAGACUUCAAUGAAUUCAACCAAAAUAAUUCCUUAUCAUCUUUCAAAAUUUCCUUCAAAACGUGACAUAUUGUAAACAUCUUCAACAAUUCAUGAAGAUAGGAAUGGAAACUUUAAUAUUCCAGCAAGGAUAGCCAUAUAAGAGUUUGAUCAAAUUCAUCAAAAUGGAGAUGUUCUACAUUACCAACGAUCUUCAACAACGAAUUCUUGCUAAGUUAUACGACAUGAUAGUGACGAAAUUUGCAAUUUCAAGGAACCCGGUAUAAUCUUUCUCAAGAAUAUCAUGCGGAUUAUUUUUCUACUAUGGUCCACCGUUACGUGUUGUCGCAAUUGACUUGUGUUAGGGGUAUUGUUAAGAGAAUUGGCUCAGGCAUAUUAAGGCUAUCCCUUCUUUCCACAAAUGAAACAAGUAAAUGUACAACUUCCAUAAAUGACUCUAUUUAUAGAAGUAUUAGAGGUACCUAUUUUUUUGAAUUCAUAUAUGUCUUAUUAUUACACCUUCUGUGCAA
rnacentral:lncRNA from 1 species